GUGGCGAACGGGUGAGUAACACGUAAGCAACCUGCCCCUAAGUGGGGGAUAACUUCGGGAAACCGGAGCUAAUACCGCAUGUGGUGGCCCUUCAACAGAAGGGUCAUUAAAGCCUUCGGGUGCUUGGGGAGGGGCUUGCGUCUGAUUAGCUUGUUGGUGAGGUAACGGCCCACCAAGGCAAUGAUCGGUAGCUGGUCUGAGAGGAUGGUCAGCCACACUGGGACUGAGACACGGCCCAGACUCCUACGGGAGGCAGCAGCAAGGAAUAUUGUGCAAUGGGCGAAAGCCUGACACAGCGACACCGCGUGGGGGAAGAAGGUCUUCGGAUUGUAAACCCCUUUUCUCAGGGAAGAAUAAUGACGGUACCUGGGGAAUAAGUCUCGGCUAACUACGUGCCAGCAGCCGCGGUAAUACGUAGGAGGCAAGCGUUAUCCGAAUUUAUUGGGCGUAAAGCGCGUGUAGGCGGCUUUUCAAGUCGGAUGUAAAAUCUCCCGGCUCAACUGGGAGGGCCCAUUCGAUACUGUUGGGCUAGAGUGCAGCAGAGGGAGGUGGAAUUCCCGGUGUAGUGGUGAAAUGCGUAGAUAUCGGGAGGAACACCAGUGGCGAAGGCGGCCUCCUGGGCUGCAACUGACGCUGAGACGCUAAAGCGUGGGGAGCGAACAGGAUUAGAUACCCUGGUAGUCCACGCCGUAAACGAUGGAC
rnacentral:rRNA from 1 species